rnacentral:rRNA from 1 species
CCACAUCAAGUUCAAACACCAGUUUCCAUAUGAUUACUGUAGUUAAGUAAUAUCGAGCCUGGUCUGUACCUAGAUGGGUGACUGCUUGGGAAUACCAGGUGCUGUAA